rnacentral:rRNA from 1 species
CAGCAGCCGCGGUAAUACGUAGGGCGCAAGCGUUAUCCGGAAUUAUUGGGCGUAAAGAGCUCGUAGGCGGUUUGUCGCGUCUGCCGUGAAAGUCCGGGGCUCAACCCCGGAUCUGCGGUGGGUACGGGCAGACUAGAGUGAUGUAGGGGAGACUGGAAUUCCUGGUGUAGCGGUGAAAUGCGCAGAUAUCAGGAGGAACACCGAUGGCGAAGGCAGGUCUCUGGGCAUUAACUGACGCUGAGGAGCGAAUGCAUGGGGAGCGAACAGGAUUAGAUACCCGAGUAGUCCCUGUCUCUUAUAC